GAGUUUGAUUAUGGCUCAGGAUGAACGCUAGCGGCAGGCUUAAUACAUGCAAGUCGUGGGGCAGCGCGGGUAGCAAUAUCUGGCGGCGACCGGCAAACGGGUGCGUAAUACGUACGCAACCUUCCUUUGAGCGGGGAAUAGCCCAGGGAAACUUGGAUUAAUACCCCAUAACAUGAUGAAGAGGCAUCUCUUUAUUAUUAAAGCUCCGGCACUCGAAGAUGGGCGUACGGCUGAUUAGGUAGUUGGCGGGGUAAUAGCCCACCAAGCCGACGAUCAGUAGCUGAUGUGAGAGCAUGAUCAGCCACACGGGUACUGAGACACGGACCCGACUCCUACGGGAGGCAGCAGUAAGGAAUAUUGGUCAAUGGACGGAAGUCUGAACCAGCCAUCCCGCGUGCAGGAAGAAGGUCCUAUGGAUUGUAAACUGCUUUUAGCAGAGACGAAACGC
rnacentral:rRNA from 1 species